AUCCCAGAUUCUUUGUAUCCAGCCUCCUUCCAUAGGUGGGUCUACACUUUUCCUCUUGUGUGAUAUAUAUAGUGAUGCCAAAAAAUUAUGACACCAUAAAAGACAUCACAAGAGGUCCAUCUCCGGCUGCUGCCAGCUCACCCGGUGGCGACUCCGCAUCGGGCCUUCUCUGUAGCUGCUCCUUGGCUAUGGAAUGCGCUCCCUAUGGUGUAAGAUCUUUACCAGCCUUUGAAAGCUCUCGAAACACAUCUUUGAAAGUGAUUUUGAACUGUUUUAAUUGUAAUUGUUUUUAAUGGGUUAUUUAGUCUAUUUUUAUUUAUGUGAACCGCCUAGAGCCAUCUGGGUGAGGCGGUAUAAUUAAUAAGUAAGUAAAUAAGAUCAUCCUGGAGAGAAUCUAUCUAUGUGGUCGCUAAGAGUCGACACCAACUUGACGGCACUUAAUCAAUCAAUCAGUCAAGUAAGUAAGUAAAUGUUCAAAACGCAAGUCUUAUUUCAUAGUUUGUUUAAUACUAGCUCUGAUCAUUUUCCAAAAUGACUGCAUUUUGGUACUGUUAUACCAGAAAUGUAAAUAGGAACGUCAUCAGGCCCACUGAUUUUAAUGGUGCUGAGUGGAAUAAGUGUGCUUAGAAUUUCAGCUGCAGUCUGUAGAAUCCAAGGAAAAGUGUUGUGGUAUACAAGGCCAAGGCAGUGGAGUGGAAUCAGGGAUAUUAAUAGUUUAAUGAAACAGAUAUUAUGUACAGAGAGGCAAGUGUAGACUGCUUUUCAGUGCUCUUGCUGCUGGCUGUAAGCCUCUUAGUUAGUCCUCUACUCCAGGACUGGAAUCCAAGCAACUAAAUCCCCUUUCAAAAGCUGGCCUGGAUCAAGGAAUGGAUUAACCAAAAUCACAGUCCACCCUCUUUAUUCCUGUGCCUUAUGCAGGUAAACAUAAAGUGUGCCGUUGAGUCAAUGUCGACUCCUGGAGACCACAGAGCCCUGUGGUUGUCUUUGGUAGAAUACAGGAGGGGUUUACCAUUGCCUCCUCCCACACAGUAUGAGAUUAUGAUUCCCAUAGUCUGGGAAACAUACCAGCAGGGAUUCAAACCGGCAACCUCGGGUUUGCUGUCCAUUAGGUGGAGGCCUUCCUUAAUAGUAUUUUGAAAGACAGAUGCCUCUCCAGUUGCAAUUCUACACAAAAGAAAACAUCACAUGACUGAGUACUGCCAUGCUUGGCCUGACCAGAGGUCUCUCUAGCUCAACAUUACGAGUUCUGACGGUGGUCAGCUGUGCACCUCAGAGAUGUUAACAAGUAGGGAUCAAGGGGGAAAUCUAACCCUUUGUUAAUUACAAGCCUCUGGAAAUAACCAGUUUUGGAAUGUGGAAUAUUGCAUUGCUGGCAAUUGUGUGGCUAGCAGCCACCAAUAAGAACUGUCCUUCAUAGGAGCCAUUUUUGGAAGGAAUAGAAAUCGAAUGAAUAAAUAAAAUAGGAGCGAUCCACUCAGAGGUGCACCUAGGUAAUUUUGGAGCCUGGUCCUAAAGGCUUUUUGAGCCCCCUCCCCCAACAAUACUUUAACACAUUUUUAACGUGACCACACCAUUUGAGACAGACUAAAAGGAUUUAGGGGGCCACAGGGGAUGUGGAGGCCCUGGACUUUUGCCCGGAAGUACAGGGGGGAAAGUGCCUCUGGAUCCACUGGAAAGUUUACCUGUACAGACCCCAUUGAGACAAUGGAAGCACAGCAGAGCUCUUGCACAGCUCCCCUUUGUUUCAAUGGGAGAACCUCUGGGAGGGUUUUUCUCUUUUAAAAAAUCAAUUUAUACUAGUGGCCAUUCCAACAUCUCAUGGAUUCUGCAGGGGUAAUAUGAAGAAUUCUGCAAUUUCUCUUCAGUCCACUGCCCAUUAAUUUCAGUGGAUGACCAUAUUAUUUUGCUUUUCAGUGAAGAUUAUUUCUUUUUGUUUUGGCAGGGUCACCCUCUGCACAACCCUCAAGAUGUUAUACAUUUCUAUGAUCAAGGUUGCAAUGCGGGAGACACUGGAAUCUUUUUUUGCUUACACCACAUCUGCAGGAUGAUGCCACAUCAGCCUGCAUCAUGAUUAACACAUGCUUGCAUAUUCAGCAAUUGCCACAGAUGGAGACAGUUUUUUCCAACAUUUUCCCUUAUUUUUGCACACAGCCGCCUGUUUAGCAAUCUCUAAGAGUCAACAGUGGGAGGCCCCUGGCCUAAAUCCAGUCCCUUGAGAGAUGCUAAAGGGAAAGCAUAUGCUUUGCAUACAGAAUGUCUCUGGCAUCUCUAGGUAAGGCUGGAAAAAAGUCAAGGCCCUUGUCUGAAACACUGGAUUGCUGCUGCCAGUCAGAGUAGACAGCACUUAGCUAGACAGAACCAUAAUAUGAAUCAGUAUGAGGCAGCUUCUGUGGUUUUCCUCCUCAGGGAUUGGGGCUGUAGCUUCGUAGUAAAGUUUCUGAGGAGGCCCCAGGUUUAGUCUCUGGCACCUCCAGGUAGGGCUGGGAAAGACCCUUGUCUGAAACCGUGGAGAAUUGCUGCCAGUCAGAGUAGACAUAUUGAGCUAGAUUGGUCCAACUCAUUGUGUGGCAGCUUCAGAUGCAAACACACACCCACACACACCCGCCGCCACUGUUAUUAUGCUAUGUGGAGAAAGAGCUGGCAGGAGAACUUGCUAGUAGGCCACCAUCAGGGAGAGCAUAAUUUCAUGGCUAACAUCUCUCACUCUCCUCUCUAAGUGGCCCUCUAGGGAAGUUAUUUGCUACGACCAAACUAGAUGUUAUGUUAAGCCCAUUAUUAGGACUAAUGGGCUUGAUUUUGUUACUUAACAAAAAGCAGCUGGAUAGGGCCCCCCACCGAUCAGGACUGAAGCAUGUGGGGAGAAGCUUUAGCCUUCUGCCCCCACCAUGGCACCAUUCCUUAUGGCGAAGAGGGCUGGUCCAGCUGCUCUGUGCUAGAACAAAAUCAUGCCCAUCAGCCCUAAUAAUGGGCUUCACAGGGAGAGUACUGUUUUUGUGGUAAGGGGUGUUAAUAAGGGUGCAGGCAGAGGGAAAGGCUGACCAGCAGCCCCUCACAUUUUAUAAUUGUAUAUGAAUAGAAAUAUGCGAUGAUGAAUAUUUAUAUACCACUUUUCAACAAAAGUUCCCAAAGCAGUUUAGAUAGAUAGAUAUAGAUAAUAAGGAAGAUGAUUCCUUGUCUCCAAAGGGCUCACAAUCUAAAAAAAGAAACGUAAGAUAGACACCAGCAACAGCCACUGGAGGGAUGCUGUGCUGGGGCUGGAUAGGGCCAGUUGUUCUUCCUGUGCUAAAUACAAGAGUCACCAAGUUAAAAAGGUGCCUCUUUGCUCCGUUAGCAGGGCAAUAAAGUGUGGCUGGGGGAGGGGGUGGACGUUGUAGUUCAGCAGCAGCUAGAGAGCCAAGGUUGCCUCCCCGUGGUCUCUAGAUGCUCUGGCCCACCAGAGGCUGCUGAGUCCGGCAGUAGCGGAGGGCAGGUGGGGACACUGGCACCUCCCCCACCCACUGAUAAUCCUCCACCUGAGGCAACUGCUUCAGUUCACCCCAUGGUGAGAGGGUGGCCCUGCUUAAAAUAUGGACAAGGGAGACACCAGCAAACAGCCUCAGGAGGGAUGUCAUGCUGGGCUGAAUCGGGACAGUUGCUCCUCCCCUCUGCAAAAUACAAGAAAGCCACCACUUGAAAAGGACUGCUUUCAGUAGACACCUGAAGAUUCAUGUUGGAUGAUUCUUGGAGUCUCCAAACCAAUCCUGAAGAAGUGGCAACCCUGCUACAUUUCAUCAGACAAUCAGUGUACCUAGAUCCUCUACUGGAGACAGCUCUUCGGGAUUUCAGACUGAGAAUCAGCUGGAAAAGGCAUUGGAGGUCUUCUAGUCCAGCUCCCUGCUCGGUACAGGACACUCUACCUGCAGCCUGGAGUGGGACAGUCCAUUCUACCACAUCAGGGAAUGCUAACUCAGCAAAGAGACACCUUUUAAAGUGGCGGUUCUCUUAUAUUUAGCAGGGGGAGAGCAACUGGCCCCAUCCAGCCCCAGCACAGCAUCCCUCCAGUGGCUGUUGCUGGUGUCUACUUUAUGUUUCUUUUUAGAUUGUGAGCCCUUUAGGGACAGGGGACUAUCUUAUUUAUGUAUUAUUUAUUUUUCUAUGUAAACUGCUUUGAGAAUUUGUUAAAGAGCAGUAUAUAAAUAUUUGUCGUCGUCGUAGUAGGGAUGGGCCACCUUAUUCUGCUGCAUGCGAGGAUCUGGCCCAAGCAGUUUCUUCCUUUAGACUACCUGGUUGAUCUCGUCCAGUGACAGUGGUUGAAGCUGUGCCUCCAAGAUUGCACAUGGCAUGCGCAUUACAUUCAGACUUCCUAGAGAGCCAGCUUCCUAUGUUCCUAUCUGGCAAGUGGCCAGUGUGGUGAAGUUGGGUUCAGGGGGCAGCAUAAUGUUGGACAAAAUUCAUAACAAAUUUGCCACAUCUAACUUGCACCUCAGAUGAGGUACAUGAGGAUUUAGAUUGCAUCAUAAUUAAGAGUCUAGAAUAUGAAGCCCCUACACACUUUCAGCCACCUAAUGGCACAGCGGGGAAGUAACUUGCCUAGGGAGCAAGAGGUUGUCGAUUCGAAUCCCUGCUGAUAUGUUUCCCAGACUAUGGGGAACACCUAUAUUGGGCAGCAGCGAUAUUGGAAGAUGCUGAAAGGCAUCAUCUCAUACUACAUGGGAGAUGGCAAGGGUAAACCCCUCCUGUAUUCUACCAAAGACAACCACAGGGCUCUGUGGUUGCCAGGAGUCGACACCAACUCGACGACACAACUUUACCUUUUUCCACACACCUCCAGCAGGUAGGUACUCUGUCUUGCUGAGAAGUAUCUUGACUCACAAGUCUGGCUGGGGGACAAGUAGGGGAUGGAGCACAUGAACUAUAGCGUAGCAUGGGACUGAAUGCCAGGAUUAUUAAGUUAGCACAGAAAACCUCCCUCUGCCUUUGCUUCCAUUUUCUCCUUUCCCUUUAAUUGCUCUGGUUCAUAGCACCUUUGAGCAAGUCAGCUUUGUGUGUGCACGCUUGAAAUUGGCACAGAUCUGAAUACAUCCCUUUAUUCUGAUACUCCCCCCACACACCAAUAUUCUCUAAUAAUCUGUGCCAAGGUGGGGGAAAUACUAAAUAAAAUACAAAACCCACCCAUCUACUUUGGCAAUGGUGUUCUAUUAGGGCCAAUUUGGGGAACAAUGUGUGGAUUUUUUUUUAAUAGCUUGUAAGAGAAAAUGACAGAAAAUGGGGAAAUGUAAUUUGCUAUGGACUCCCCCUCCCCCCCACCUCUAUUCACUGACUCCUCGAAAGGGAUGCAUAUAUAAAUAAUGAAGCACAGCCAAUUUAAUGUUUGAAGCCACUGAGGUCAAAGGGAGAGGGAGAGAAGGAGACAUUAGCUUUGCAAGAGUGACAGGCAGCAUAAUGGCACACUGAAAUAUAAGGAGCACAUUUAGAAGGAUCCCAUCCCUUAUAUAAUAUGGUGGGGGGGAAACAUACAUGUACUUUAUCAAAUAGCAUAUACAGUACUGACACCUUUUCAGCAAGUGGCAUCCAAAGAAGACGGAAAUCUUAGAGCUUUCCCCAGAAUGCCCAUAGAAUCAUAACUUGGCAAACAAAGAGGCACCUUUUAAUGUGGUGAUUCUCUUUAUUGAGCGGUGGGAGGGGGAGUAACUGGCCCUAUCCACCUCCAGCACAGUACCUUUAGUGACUGUUGCUGGUGUCUAUCUUGUGUUUCUUUUUAGAUUGUGAGCCCUUUGGGGACGGGGAGCCACCAUAUUUAUUUAUUAUUUCUCUGUGUAAACUGCCCUGCGCCAUUUUUGGAAGGGCGGUAUAGAAAUCAAAUUAUUACUAUUAUUUCUUGUUUACACAGUCAGACAGGUGUUAUUGACUGGUUUGUUUUAUCCAGACAUCGAAUCCUUCCCAAGGACCUGAGAUGGCUGAAUUUUAUUAUCAAUGUUGUUGCUGUUAUUAUAGAUAUCGUCGCAGAAUAUAGGCUGUUACCAGUAAAGUUGCUUUUUGUAAUUG